AGGACGAACGCUGGCGGCGCGCUUAACACAUGCAAGUCGAGCGAGAACCAAGCCUUCGGGCUUGGGGACAGCGGCGAACGGGUGAGUAACACGUGGGUAAUCAACCCUUGACACUGGGAUAGCCCGGGGAAACCCGGAUUAAUACCGGAUACCCCAUCUGGCUUUCGAGCCGGCUGGAAAAGGUAGCUUCGGCCUCCGGUCAGGGACGAGCCCGCGGCGGAUUAGCUUGUUGGCGGGGUAAAAGCCCACCAAGGCGACGAUCCGUAGCUGGUCUGAGAGGACGAUCAGCCACACUGGGACUGAGACACGGCCCAGACUCCUACGGGAGGCAGCAGUGGGGAAUCUUGCACAAUGGGCGAAAGCCUGAUGCAGCGACGCCGCGUGAGGGAAGAAGGCCUUCGGGUUGUAAACCUCUUUCAGGAGGGACGAAGCCACUCGGGUUAAUAGCCCAGAGGGUGACGGUACCUCCAGAAGAAGCCCCGGCUAACUACGUGCCAGCAGCCGCGGU
rnacentral:rRNA from 1 species